GGUUAAGCGACUAAGCGUACACGGUGGAUGCCCUGGCAGUCAGAGGCGAUGAAGGACGUGCUAAUCUGCGAUAAGCGUCGGUAAGGUGAUAUGAACCGUUAUAACCGGCGAUUUCCGAAUGGGGAAACCCAGUGUGAUUCGUCACACUAUCAUUAACUGAAUCCAUAGGUUAAUGAGGCGAACCGGGGGAACUGAAACAUCUAAGUACCCCGAGGAAAAGAAAUCAACCGAGAUUCCCCCAGUAGCGGCGAGCGAACGGGGAGCAGCCCAGAGCCUGAAUCAGUGUGUGUGUUAGUGGAAGCGUCUGGAAAGGCGCGCGAUACAGGGUGACAGCCCCGUACACAAAAAUGCACAUGCUGUGAGCUCGAUGAGUAGGGCGGGACACGUGGUAUCCUGUCUGAAUAUGGGGGGACCAUCCUCCAAGGCUAAAUACUCCUGACUGACCGAUAGUGAACCAGUACCGUGAGGGAAAGGCGAAAAGAACCCCGGCGAGGGGAGUGAAAAAGAACCUGAAACCGUGUACGUACAAGCAGUGGGAGCCUCUUUAUGGGGUGACUGCGUACCUUUUGUAUAAUGGGUCAGCGACUUAUAUUCUGUAGCAAGGUUAACCGAAUAGGGGAGCCGAAGGGAAACCGAGUCUUAACUGGGCGUUAAGUUGCAGGGUAUAGACCCGAAACCCGGUGAUCUAGCCAUGGGCAGGUUGAAGGUUGGGUAACACUAACUGGAGGACCGAACCGACUAAUGUUGAAAAAUUAGCGGAUGACUUGUGGCUGGGGGUGAAAGGCCAAUCAAACCGGGAGAUAGCUGGUUCUCCCCGAAAGCUAUUUAGGUAGCGCCUCGUGAAUUCAUCUCCGGGGGUAGAGCACUGUUUCGGCAAGGGGGUCAUCCCGACUUACCAACCCGAUGCAAACUGCGAAUACCGGAGAAUGUUAUCACGGGAGACACACGGCGGGUGCUAACGUCCGUCGUGAAGAGGGAAACAACCCAGACCGCCAGCUAAGGUCCCAAAGUCAUGGUUAAGUGGGAAACGAUGUGGGAAGGCCCAGACAGCCAGGAUGUUGGCUUAGAAGCAGCCAUCAUUUAAAGAAAGCGUAAUAGCUCACUGGUCGAGUCGGCCUGCGCGGAAGAUGUAACGGGGCUAAACCAUGCACCGAAGCUGCGGCAGCGACGCUUAUGCGUUGUUGGGUAGGGGAGCGUUCUGUAAGCCUGUGAAGGUGUGCUGUGAGGCAUGCUGGAGGUAUCAGAAGUGCGAAUGCUGACAUAAGUAACGAUAAAGCGGGUGAAAAGCCCGCUCGCCGGAAGACCAAGGGUUCCUGUCCAACGUUAAUCGGGGCAGGGUGAGUCGACCCCUAAGGCGAGGCCGAAAGGCGUAGUCGAUGGGAAACAGGUUAAUAUUCCUGUACUUGGUGUUACUGCGAAGGGGGGACGGAGAAGGCUAUGUUGGCCGGGCGACGGUUGUCCCGGUUUAAGCGUGUAGGCUGGUUUUCCAGGCAAAUCCGGAAAAUCAAGGCUGAGGCGUGAUGACGAGGCACUACGGUGCUGAAGCAACAAAUGCCCUGCUUCCAGGAAAAGCCUCUAAGCAUCAGGUAACAUCAAAUCGUACCCCAAACCGACACAGGUGGUCAGGUAGAGAAUACCAAGGCGCUUGAGAGAACUCGGGUGAAGGAACUAGGCAAAAUGGUGCCGUAACUUCGGGAGAAGGCACGCUGAUAUGUAGGUGAAGCGACUUGCUCGUGGAGCUGAAAUCAGUCGAAGAUACCAGCUGGCUGCAACUGUUUAUUAAAAACACAGCACUGUGCAAACACGAAAGUGGACGUAUACGGUGUGACGCCUGCCCGGUGCCGGAAGGUUAAUUGAUGGGGUUAGCGCAAGCGAAGCUCUUGAUCGAAGCCCCGGUAAACGGCGGCCGUAACUAUAACGGUCCUAAGGUAGCGAAAUUCCUUGUCGGGUAAGUUCCGACCUGCACGAAUGGCGUAAUGAUGGCCAGGCUGUCUCCACCCGAGACUCAGUGAAAUUGAACUCGCUGUGAAGAUGCAGUGUACCCGCGGCAAGACGGAAAGACCCCGUGAACCUUUACUAUAGCUUGACACUGAACAUUGAGCCUUGAUGUGUAGGAUAGGUGGGAGGCUUUGAAGUGUGGACGCCAGUCUGCAUGGAGCCGACCUUGAAAUACCACCCUUUAAUGUUUGAUGUUCUAACGUUGACCCGUAAUCCGGGUUGCGGACAGUGUCUGGUGGGUAGUUUGACUGGGGCGGUCUCCUCCUAAAGAGUAACGGAGGAGCACGAAGGUUGGCUAAUCCUGGUCGGACAUCAGGAGGUUAGUGCAAUGGCAUAAGCCAGCUUGACUGCGAGCGUGACGGCGCGAGCAGGUGCGAAAGCAGGUCAUAGUGAUCCGGUGGUUCUGAAUGGAAGGGCCAUCGCUCAACGGAUAAAAGGUACUCCGGGGAUAACAGGCUGAUACCGCCCAAGAGUUCAUAUCGACGGCGGUGUUUGGCACCUCGAUGUCGGCUCAUCACAUCCUGGGGCUGAAGUAGGUCCCAAGGGUAUGGCUGUUCGCCAUUUAAAGUGGUACGCGAGCUGGGUUUAGAACGUCGUGAGACAGUUCGGUCCCUAUCUGCCGUGGGCGCUGGAGAACUGAGGGGGGCUGCUCCUAGUACGAGAGGACCGGAGUGGACGCAUCACUGGUGUUCGGGUUGUCAUGCCAAUGGCACUGCCCGGUAGCUAAAUGCGGAAGAGAUAAGUGCUGAAAGCAUCUAAGCACGAAACUUGCCCCGAGAUGAGUUCUCCCUGACCCUUUAAGGGUCCUGAAGGAACGUUGAAGACGACGACGUUGAUAGGCCGGGUGUGUAAGCGCAGCGAUGCGUUGAGCUAACCGGUACUAAUGAACCGUGAGGCUUAACCUU
rnacentral:rRNA from 1 species